UUGAACCGCAUGGUUCAAAAGUGAAAGACGGUCUUGCUGUCACUUAUAGAUGGAUCCGCGCUGCAUUAGCUAGUUGGUAAGGUAACGGCUUACCAAGGCAACGAUGCAUAGCCGACCUGAGAGGGUGAUCGGCCACACUGGAACUGAGACACGGUCCAGACUCCUACGGGAGGCAGCAGUAGGGAAUCUUCCGCAAUGGGCGAAAGCCUGACGGAGCAACGCCGCGUGAGUGAUGAAGGUCUUCGGAUCGUAAAACUCUGUUAUUAGGGAAGAACAUAUGUGUAAGUAACUGUGCACAUCUUGACGGUACCUAAUCAGAAAGCCACGGCUAACUACGUGCCAGCAGCCGCGGUAAUACGUAGGUGGCAAGCGUUAUCCGGAAUUAUUGGGCGUAAAGCGCGCGUAGGCGGUUUUUUAAGUCUGAUGUGAAAGCCCACGGCUCAACCGUGGAGGGUCAUUGGAAACUGGAAAACUUGAGUGCAGAAGAGGAAAGUGGAAUUCCAUGUGUAGCGGUGAAAUGCGCAGAGAUAUGGAGGAACACCAGUGGCGAAGGCGACUUUCUGGUCUGUAACUGACGCUGAUGUGCGAAAGCGUGGGGAUCAAACAGGAUUAGAUACCCUGGUAGUCCACGCCGUAAACGAUGAGUGCUAAGUGUUAGGGGGUUUCCGCCCCUUAGUGCUGCAGCUAACGCAUUAAGCACUCCGCCUGGGGAGUACGACCGCAAGGUUGAAACUCAAAGGAAUUGACGGGGACCCGCACAAGCGGUGGAGCAUGUGGUUUAAUUCGAAGCAACGCGAAGAACCUUACCAAAUCUUGACAUCCUUUGACAACUCUAGAGAUAGAGCCUUCCCCUUCGGGGGGCAAAGUGACAGGUGGUGCAUGGUUGUCGUCAGCUCGUGUCGUGAGAUGUUGGGUUAAGUCCCGCAACGAGCGCAACCCUUAAGCUUAGUUGCCAUCAUUAAGUUGGGCACUCUAAGUUGACUGCCGGUGACAAACCGGAGGAAGGUGGGGAUGACGUCAAAUCAUCAUGCCCCUUAUGAUUUGGGCUACACACGUGCUACAAUGGACAAUACAAAGGGCAGCGAAACCGCGAGGUCAAGCAAAUCCCAUAAAGUUGUUCUCAGUUCGGAUUGUAGUCUGCAACUCGACUACAUGAAGCUGGAAUCGCUAGUAAUCGUAGAUCAGCAUGCUACGGUGAAUACGUUCCCGGGUCUUGUACACACCGCCCGUCACACCACGAGAGUUUGUAACACCCGAAGCCGGUGGAGUAACCUUUUAGGAGCUAGCCGUCGAAGGUGGGACAAAUGAUUGGGGUGAAGUCGUAACAAGGUAGCCGUAUCGGAAGGUGCGGCUGGAUCACCUCCUUU
rnacentral:rRNA from 1 species